rnacentral:rRNA from 1 species
AGAGUUUGAUCCUGGCUCAGAGCGAACGCUGGCGGCGUGCUUAACACAUGCAAGUCGAGUGCGCGCCCGUAGCAAUACGGGUGGCGCACGGCGCACGGGUGCGUAACACGUGGGUAACCUGCCCUUUGAUGGGGAAUAACCCCGCGAAAGCGGGGCUAAUACCGCAUAAGAUCCGCAAGGAUGAAAGCCGAAAGGCGUCG